rnacentral:tRNA from 1 species
GUGUUAGUAGCUUAGUAGGUUAAAGCGUCAGAUUGUGGUUCUGAAUAUCGUGGGUUCAAAUCCUACCUAACACCUA